UAUAGAGGGUGUAAGCGUUGUUCGGAAUUACUGGGCGUAAAGCGCGUGUAGGUGGCAAUGUAAGUCGGGUGUGAAAUCCCUUGGCUUAACCAAGGAAGUGCACUCGAUACUGUGUUGCUUGAGUAUCGGAGGGGAUGGCGGAAUUCCCGGUGUAGAGGUGAAAUUCGUAGAUAUCGGGAGGAACACCUGUGGCGAAGGCGGCCAUCUGGACGAUCACUGACACUGAGACGCGAAAGCGUGGGUAGCAAACAGG
rnacentral:rRNA from 1 species